UAGCCUAGUGGUUAAGGCUAUGGAUCGCCAUUCCGGAGACGGCGGGUUCGAUUCCCGU
rfam:Aedes albopictus isolate Foshan contig106695, whole genome shotgun sequence.